rnacentral:rRNA from 1 species
AUUGAACGCUGGCGGCAGGCCUAACACAUGCAAGUCGAGCGGAUGAAGGGAGCUUGCUCCUGGAUUCAGCGGCGGACGGGUGAGUAAUGCCUAGGAAUCUGCCUGGUAGUGGGGGAUAACGUCCGGAAACGGGCGCUAAUACCGCAUACGUCCUGAGGGAGAAAGUGGGGGAUCUUCGGACCUCACGCUAUCAGAUGAGCCUAGGUCGGAUUAGCUAGUUGGUGGGGUAAAGGCCUACCAAGGCGACGAUCCGUAACUGGUCUGAGAGGAUGAUCAGUCACACUGGAACUGAGACACGGUCCAGACUCCUAAGGGAUGCAGCAGUGGGGAAUAUUGGACAAUGGGCGAAAGCCUGAUCCAGCCAUGCCGCGUGUGUGAAGAAGGUCUUCGGAUUGUAAAGCACUUUAAGUUGGGAGGAAGGGCAGUAAGUUAAUACCUUGCUGUUUUGACGUUACCAACAGAAUAAGCACCGGCUAACUUCGUG